AACGUAGGACGCAAGCGUUAUCCGGAGUUACUGGGCGUAAGGGCGGGCAGGCGGUUCGUCAAGUGGGGUGUGAAAGCUCUCAGCUUAACUGGGAGAGGCCAUUCCAAACUGACGAACUGGAGGGCAGCAGAGGUAGGCGGAAUUCCGGGUGGAGUGGUGAAAUGCGUAGAGAUCCGGAGGAACACCAGAGGCGAAGGCGGCCUACUGGGCUGCACCUGACGCUGAACCGCGAAAGCUAGGGGAGCGAACGGG
rnacentral:rRNA from 1 species